GCUGGUUUGCUGAUUCUCCCAGCUUCCCAUCACUGACAAUCACUCCGAAAUAGCUGGAACUUCAUUUCCUCUUUAAACUGUGACACCUGGCUCUUUGGAUUGCUUUCAUGAAUGGGAUUUCACAGAUGAAGAAACUGAGUUACAGGGAGACCAAGCAAGCCAUUAAAGUGACCCAACUGUUGAAGAUGCUGGCCCUGCAAGAAUUGGCAACACUCGUACAUGCUAGACAGAUGUGAAAGCUCGCUGGAAUGUACAACAAGAGUCCAACUUGGUGACAGAGAUCCUUACCAUUUAUCAGAAGCCUCAAAUACUUAGGUUGAGGACCAGAAAGACACUCAGCAUGGAUGGAAAAUGCCCUCCAGAGAUACUGGAAUCAGGAAUGAGGGGUGAGAAAGAUGCACGCUAAUGAUCUGUGAUGGCAUGUCCCAAAGUAUGGAGAUGUGGC